GCCGGGCAUAGUGGUGGGUGCCUGUAAUCCCAGCUACUCAGGAGGCUGAGGCAGGAGAAUCGCUUGAACCCAGGAGGCGGAGGUUGCAGUGAGCUGAGAUGGUGCCACUGCACUCCAGCCUGGGCAAUAGAGCGAGACUCAGUCUCAA
rnacentral:SRP_RNA from 1 species